GGCCCAUGGCCUUCCUAUCAUUGCCAUGAGAGCAAAAGUUGGUACCCAGCAAGACUCUGGCACUACUGGCUGGAGCGUGAGAGCAGGUGAAAGUGAAAGUGAAGUCGCUCAGUUGUGUCCGAAUCUUUGCAACCCGUGGACUGUAGCCCACCAAGCUCCUCCAUCCAUGGGAUUCUCCAGGCAAGAAUACUGGAGUGGGUUGCCAUUUCCUUCUCCCGGGGAUCUUGCCGACCCAGGGAUCGAACCCAGGUCUUCCACAUUGCAGGCAGAUGCUUUAACCUCUGCACCACCAGGG
ensembl:lncRNA